GAUGAUCGCUAGCUACAGGCUUAACACAUGCAAGUCGAGGGGUAACGAGAGGAAAGCUUGCUUUCCUUGUCGACGACCGGCGCACGGGUGAGUAACGCGUAUCCACCCUGCCCCCGACUAGGGAAUAACCUUGCGAAAGUAAGACUAAUACCCUAUAAUUUCCUCAGAUGUCAUCUGACGAGGAAUAAAGAUUUAUCGGUUGUGGAUGGGGAUGCGUCUGAUUAGCUUGUUGGCGGGGUAACGGCCCACCAAGGCAACGAUCAGUAGGGGUUCUGAGAGGAAGGUCCCCCACAUUGGAACUGGGACACGGUCCAAACUCCUACGGGAGGCAGCAGUGAGGAAUAUUGGUCAAUGGGCGGAAGCCUGAACCAGCCAAGUAGCGUGCAGGAUGACGGCCCUAUGGGUUGUAAACUUCUUUUAUACAGGAAUAAAGUUAGCCACGUGUGGUUAUUUGUAGGUACUGUAUGAAUAAGGACCGGCUAAUUCCGUGCCAGCCGCCGCUGUAA
rnacentral:rRNA from 1 species